AUGGGGGCAGCCCCCCCUUCCCUUCCCCAGCGCCCCUCCCCGCCGCCCGCCCCCAGCGCGCCUCCCGCGGCCGGCGGAGCGCGGCGCGGUGCGGGGCCGGCGGGGCUGAGCGGCGGGCGGCCGGGGGGGGGCUCCGCGGCCCCCGGGAGGGCUGGGGGCAGCCGCCCGCCCCCCCUGCACCGCAGCCGGCGCCCGCAUUUCCAACGGCGCCCGCUGCAGCAUCCGGAGCGGACCCCGCAGGUAGGGCGCAGAUCGGGCGGCUCCGGCUCCGGCACGGCUCGGUUUUGGGCAUCCCCGCUUGUUUUUGGGAGAGGGAGGAAGGGGGGAAGCCGACGUCGCUGUCGGAGAGAACUUGGGUCUGGGGUGCGCGCUGUGGGAGCUGGGGGUCCCCCGGGGUACGGUGAGAGCAUCCCGCUGCUGCUCGGGGUGCUGGGCGCCCCGUCCCAACGGGGGGGGGCUGUGGAUAGGCCUCGGCUGGAGGCUGUGGGAGCUGAGCCUGUGGGAGCUGAGCCUCGUCCCUGUCCUCUCCGGGGAGCCUCAACUUCCCCCAGCCCUCCUCACGGUGGGGAGUGGGGUGGGGGCAGUGCUCAGGGGGGAGGAUGCUCGGGAGGAUGCUCGGGAGGAUGCUCCCGGCGCUGCGAGCCCUUCCCAUUCCCAGCCACAAAAAGCGGGGUGGGGGAAGCAGCACAGCCUGGGGGGCACUGCCCCGUGCCCCCCCGGGGUGCUGUGAUUGCCUCCUUCCCCUCUCCCAAACCUCCCCCCAGCGCGGAUGCAGGCGGUGCUGGGGUCCUGUUGCUGCUUUCCCUGGGUGAAUUCUCCCGGGAGCUCUCCCCAGCCGCAGCCCCUGCCCCUUUCUGUCCCCAUCCGUGGGGCAGCCGGGCUUGGCGUGGCUUGGCGUGGGUGUGGGACGUGGAUCCGCAGCGCUGCCCGAGCCCCUGCGGGAGUUGUGCUCAGCCCUGCGCGUCCCCUGGGUGCUCCCCGCCUGGAGGAAUUUGGGGGACGGAGUCCUGGUGA
rnacentral:lncRNA from 1 species